GCCCGGUUGGCGAAAUUGGCAGACGCAACGGACUUAAAAUCCGUUGUCCGCAAGGACGUGUGGGUUCGAGUCCCACACCGGGCACCA
rnacentral:tRNA from 2 species